GGUUCGGUAGUUCAGUCGGUUAAAAUACCGACCUGUCACGCCGGAGGGCGCGUUUUCGAGUCCCGUCCGCACCGCCA
rnacentral:tRNA from 1 species